GCCUGUUUGGCUCAAUUGGUUAAGUGUCUGACUUCGGCUCAGGUCAUGAAUUCAUGGUUUGUGGGUUUGAGCCCUGCAUUGGGCU
rnacentral:tRNA from 1 species